rnacentral:lncRNA from 1 species
AUUGUUUCUAACCUUUGUUGUAUUUGUACUUCCUAUUUUCUUUUUAAUAAUUUACAAGGUUUUGAUUUCUGGUUGUUUUUUGUUAAAUAAGAUGUUAUGUAGAAGUAAAUCUCCCUCUGUUUCCGCAAACUGGAAGAUCAGACUUCACCGUCAUCCUUUAUUACAGAGAUUAUCAAGGCUGGCUCCAGUAAGAGAGCAAAACCAUCUUAUGUAGCUUCGUUUAUCUAGAUAUAUAGUCGUCCUUGGAAGGUUUGGAAGAUUCGUUGGAUAAUAUCAAGUGUGAAAAAUACGUAAAAGCGCUAAGCUCUAAGUCCAUCAGGGUUUUAAGCGAAAAGUGCGAGCUCCAAUGAAAAAAGGUGCAAGCAAAAGAAGUAAGAAGAUUUUGUAGUUUAGGAAUAAUAAUUAUAAGCAGAAGUACCAAAUAUAUAGAUAAAAUUUUUUUGAAAGAAAACUAGAAUGAAGUAAAUUAUUUAUGGUUUAGUGUCGCCUCUGUAGGAUAAUGCUUUUGGCGAUGAGACGUAUGCCUUAAAGCCUUUGUGACUGCACUGAAGCGCUUGCUCGGUAAGGCAAAGUGUUCUGAAUGUUCUGCACCAGCUUUAGGAUUUAAGCACACUAUAAACGAGCCUUUGACAACAAUGUGUUGUAGGGGCUUCAAAAGU